rnacentral:rRNA from 1 species
UACAGAGGGGGCAAGCGUUGUUCGGAAUUACUGGGCGUAAAGGGCGCGUAGGCGGCCUGUUAAGUCGGACGUGAAAUCCCUCGGCUCAACCGGGGAACUGCGUCCGAUACUGGCGGGCUUGAAUUCGGGAGAGGGAUGUGGAAUUCCAGGUGUAGCGGUGAAAUGCGUAGAUAUCUGGAGGAACACCGGUGGCGAAGGCGGCAUCCUGGACCGACAUUGACGCUGAGGCGCGAAAGCCAAGGGAGCAAACGGG